GCUAUAGCUCACUUGGUAAAGCAUGAGACUCUUAAUUUCUGAGUCAUGGGUUUGAGCCCCACGUUGGGCA